AGCAGCCGCGGUAAUUCCAGCUCCAAUAGCGUAUAUUAAAGUUGUUGCAGUUAAAAAGCUCGUAGUUGAAUUUCGGGAUCAAUGCGUCGGUCGUGCCUUCGGUACGUACUAGCGUCAUUGAUUCCUCCCUUCUGAAGAACCGUGAUGUCAUUAAUUUGGUGUUACGGGGAAUCAGGACUGUUACCUUGAAAAAUUAGAGUGUUUAAAGCAGGCUAACGCUUGAAUACAUUAGCAUGGAAUAAUGAAAUAGGACGUUCGAACCUAUUUUGUUGGUUUCUAGGAUCGACGUAAUGAUUAAUAGGGAUAGUUGGGGGCAUUAGUAUUCAAUUGUCAGAGGUGAAAUUCUUGGAUUUAUUGAAGACUGACUACUGCGAAAGCAUUUGCCAAGGAUGUUUUCAUUAAUCAAGAACGAAAGUUAGGGGAUCGAAGACGAUCAGAUACCGUCGUAGUCUUAACCAUAAACUAUGCCGACUAGGGAUCGGGUGAUGUUAAUUUUAUAAUGACUCAUUCGGCGCCUUAC
rnacentral:rRNA from 1 species